rnacentral:rRNA from 1 species
CUUGGCGACCAUAGCGUUAUGGACCCACCUGAUCCCAUGCCGAACUCAGAAGUGAAACGUAAUAGCGCCGAUGGUAGUGUGGGGUUUCCCCAUGUGAGAGUAGGACAUCGC